GACGUAGGGUGCGAGCGUUGUCCGGAAUCACUGGGCUUAAAGCGCGUGUAGGCGGCCCGGCAAGUCCGCUGUGAAAGUCCAGGGCUCAACCCUGGGAUGCCGGUGGAUACUGUCGGGCUCGAGUCCGGAAGAGGCGAGUGGAAUUCCUGGUGUAGCGGUGAAAUGCGCAGAGAUCAGGAGGAACACCAAUGGCGAAGGCAGCUCGCUGGGACGUGACUGACGCUGAGACGCGAAAGCGUGGGGAGCAAACAGG
rnacentral:rRNA from 1 species